rnacentral:rRNA from 1 species
UACGUAGGGCGCAAGCGUUGUCCGGAAUUAUUGGGCGUAAAGAGCUCGUAGGCGGCUUGUCACGUCGGGUGUGAAAGCCCGGGGCUUAACCCCGGGUCUGCAUUCGAUACGGGCAGGCUAGAGUGUGGUAGGGGAGAUCGGAAUUCCUGGUGUAGCGGUGAAAUGCGCAGAUAUCAGGAGGAACACCGAUGGCGAAGGCAGGUCUCUGGGCCACUACUGACGCUGAGAAGCGAAAGCAUGGGGAGCGAACAGG